UAUACCGUGAAACUGCGAAUGGCUCAUUAAAUCAGUUAUCGUUUAUUUGAUAGUACCUUACUACUUGGAUAACCGUGGUAAUUCUAGAGCUAAUACAUGCUAAAAACCCCGACUUCGGAAGGGGUGUAUUUAUUAGAUAAAAAACCAACGCCCUUCGGGGCUUCUUGGUGAUUCAUGAUAACUUUACGGAUCGCAUGGCCUUGCGCCGGCGACGGUUCAUUCAAAUUUCUGCCCUAUCAACUUUCGAUGGUAAGGUAUUGGCUUACCAUGGUUUCAACGGGUAACGGGGAAUUAGGGUUCGAUUCCGGAGAGGGAGCCUGAGAAACGGCUACCACAUCCAAGGAAGGCAGCAGGCGCGCAAAUUACCCAAUCCCGACACGGGGAGGUAGUGACAAUAAAUACUGAUACAGGGCUCUUUUGGGUCUUGUAAUUGGAAUGAGUACAAUUUAAACCUCUUAACGAGGAACAAUUGGAGGGCAAGUCUGGUGCCAGCAGCCGCGGUAAUUCCAGCUCCAAUAGCGUAUAUUAAAGUUGUUGCAGUUAAAAAGCUCGUAGUUGAAACUUGGGUCUGGCUGGCAGGUCCGCCUCACCGCGUGUACUUGUCCGGCCGGGCCUUCCUUCUGGAGAACCUCAUGCCCUUCACUGGGCGUGUUGGGGACCAGGACUUUUACUUUGAAAAAAUUAGAGUGUUCAAAGCAGGCCUUUGCUCGAAUACGUUAGCAUGGAAUAAUAGAAUAGGACGUGCGGUCCUAUUUUGUUGGUUUCUAGGACCGCCGUAAUGAUUAAUAGGGACAGUCGGGGGCAUCAGUAUUCAAUUGUCAGAGGUGAAAUUCUUGGAUUUAUUGAAGACUAACUACUGCGAAAGCAUUUGCCAAGGAUGUUUUCAUUAAUCAGUGAACGAAAGUUAGGGGAUCGAAGACGAUCAGAUACCGUCGUAGUCUUAACCGUAAACUAUGCCGACUAGGGAUCGGGCGAUGUUCUUUUUCUGACUCGCUC
rnacentral:rRNA from 1 species